rnacentral:lncRNA from 10 species
CCCUCCCCCAGCCUCGCUGCCGCCUUGCAGUUUGAUCUCAGACUGCUGUGCUAGCAAUUAGCAAGACUCCGUGGGCGUAGGACCCUCCGAGCCAGGUGCGGGUUAUAAUCUACUGGUGCGCCGUGUUUUAAGCCCGUGGAAAAGCACAGUAUUAGGGUGGGAGUGACCCGAUUUUCCAGGUGCCGUCGGUCACCCCUUUCUUUGACUAGGAAAGGGAACUCCCUGACCCCUUGCGCUUCCCGAGUGAGGCAAUGUCUCGCCCUGCUUUGGCUCGCGCAUGGUGCGCUGCACCCACUGUCCUGCGCCCACUGUCUGGCACUCCCUAGUGAGAUGAACGCGGUACCUCAGAUGGAAAUGCAGAAAUCACCUGUCUUCUGCGUCACUCAUGCUGGGAGCUGUAGACCCGAGCUGUUCCUGUUCGUCCAUCUUGGCUGUAAUCCCAGGUUCAUCAAAAUAAGAUAUGAUCAAGGUACAAAAGAGUUAAAGAAGCUAUUUAUUUUAAUGUUUCCUUGGAGAGCACACUUGUUAUUGCUUUGGUAUCAGGAUGAUGCUGGCCUCAUAAAAU